CGGGGCUUAGUGCCGGAGCUAACGCAAUAAGCACUCCGCCUGGGGAGUACGACCGCAAGGUUGAAACUCAAAGGAAUUGACGGGGGCCCGCACAAGCGGUGGAGCAUGUGGUUUAAUUCGAAGCAACGCGAAGAACCUUACCAGGUCUUGACAUCCCGAUGCUAUUCUUAGAGAUAGGAAGUUACUUCGGUACAUCGGAGACAGGUGGUGCAUGGUUGUCGUCAGCUCGUGUCGUGAGAUGUUGGGUUAAGUCCCGCAACGAGCGCAACCCUUAUUGUUAGUUGCCAUCAUUGAGUUGGGCACUCUAGCGAGACUGCCGGUAAUAAACCGGAGGAAGGUGGGGAUGACGUCAAAUCAUCAUGCCCCUUAUGACCUGGGCUACACACGUGCUACAAUGGUCGGUACAACGAGUUGCGAGCCGGUGACGGCAAGCUAAUCUCUGAAAGCCGAUCUCAGUUCGGAUUGGAGGCUGCAACUCGCCUCCAUGAAGUCGGAAUCGCUAGUAAUCGCGGAUCAGCACGCCGCGGUGAAUACGUUCCCGGGCCUUGUACACACCGCCCGUCACACCACGAGAGUUUGUAACACCCGAAGUCGGUGAGGUAACCUUUUAGG
rnacentral:rRNA from 1 species